CUUGCUUUUCAGAGUUAGUGGCGGACGGGUGAGUAACGCGUGGGUAACCUGCCUCAUACAGGGGGAUAGCAGCUGGAAACGGCUGAUAAAACCGCAUAAGCGCACAGCAUCGCAUGAUGCAGUGUGAAAAACUCCGGUGGUAUGAGAUGGACCCGCGUCUGAUUAGCUGGUUGGUGAGGUAACGGCCCACCAAGGCGACGAUCAGUAGCCGGCCUGAGAGGGUGACCGGCCACAUUGGGACUGAGACACGGCCCAAACUCC
rnacentral:rRNA from 1 species